GAGUAGGAAGCUCGUACGAAAUGGCCCUCUCUAAACGGUCCAGCAUGCAACCACCCAUCCAGCUGCAGUGGCAUGAAAGCUGCUGGAAGUUGGACACCGGAUUCACUCCAAAGAAAUCCUGGUUUGGAGGUAACGGUCAACGAGGAGGGCGUGAAUGCGGACUCGGAUGCCAUGCUGCCGGAUGAACGCAAUCUUAUUUUCAAUCUGGUUCUCGAUCACCUGCAUGAAGACAGAUAUGAAGAGUAAGAUCACAAUAUCAUCUGCAAACAUCAUGGUCCAAGGGGAUUCCAGUCUAACCUCAUCUGUCAGCCUAUCCAUUACUACGGCAAACAGGACGGGGCUCAGCGUGGAACCCAGAUGCAGUCCCACCUCCACCUUAAAUUCAUCUGACACACCUACGGCACAUUUGAGCAUUCUGAUUCCAAUAUUAAAAAUAAAUGAAUUAUCUCGAAUAGCAACACUUUGUAUUUUAAAUUUCUUAUACAGUUGUUGCCACAUGGCAACUGUAUUUAUAUACAAUUCUAAUUAAUAUUUAUAUCUGUAGUUAUUUUUGAUAUGUGUACAUUUUUUGAACUAAUGUAUAAUCUAUCCAUCCAUCUCCGUACCGCUUAUGCUCACUAGAAUUGCUUGCAUGGCAUGCAGGAGGCUAUCGCAUGCUUAGAUGAUUGAAAUAAAGGUAGUCAAUUAAUUGAUCAAUUGUAUUGCACAAG